CCUACGGGAGGCAGCAGUGGGGAAUAUUGCGCAAUGGGCGAAAGCCUGACGCAGCGACGCCGCGUGAGGGAUGAAGGCCUUCGGAUCGUAAACCUCCGUCAGCAGGGAAGAACGGUCACUGUGCUAAUCAGCAGUGAAUUGACGGUACCUGCAAAGGACGCACCGUCUAACUCCGUGCCAGCAACCGCGGUAAUACGGAGGGGGCGAACGUUAAUCGGAUUUACUGGGCGGAAAGCGCUCGUAGGCGGUAUGUGAAGUCAAGGGUGAAAUCCCCGCGCUCAACGUGGGAACUGCCUUUGAAACUGGCAAACUUGAGUGUGUGAGAGGAUAGUGGAAUUCCAGGUGUAGGAGUGAAAUCCGUAGAUAUCUGGAGGAACAUCAGUGGCGAAGGCGACUAUCUGGCACAUAACUGACGCUGAGGAGCGAAAGCGUGGGUAGCAAACAGGAUUAGAGACCCGAGUAGUC
rnacentral:rRNA from 1 species